AUGUGUACAGCAUGGUGUAUUUUUUUUAAUAAAAUGUACUUCAUUGAACAGACAAGUGUGAAUAUGUUACAUGCAGAAAUGUUUACUUUGCCUUUAUCCUCUAUUAGGUUUCCAGCACAGCUAAGCAGGUCACAUUCUGUGGCUCAGUCAUUCACCAAAGAAGUGAUUCUCUUGCCAGACCAUCUAACUGCGCAUGUGCCAAGGCGUAACAAAAAAGCUUGGCUUUUUGAAAAUGGACAUAUAAAAUCUGCACUGGAGUUUACCUGUGACUGGGACUCAGACAAAGUAAUGCAGGCAAUAAGGACUGCCUUCCAGCAAGUUGUUGAAGGAUGCAGGCUAAUGAUUUUGCUGGCAUGCCACACCAAACUAGUUGAGCCAUCACUCACUUCCAAACAGACUUUGAAUGGAGACCUUGUAAGAAAAAACUGUGUCAUCAGAAGUGAAUUUAUGUCAGACCUGACAAGGUUGUUUUUUUUUACGUGAGAACAAUGAAUCAGUAAGUAAUCCUGAGCAUUUCAGCAAAUGUAUGUAUGUUCAUAAAAUGAGCGUGAGAAAGGCAAAGAUUAACCUCCCUUAAACAUUGUCACUUGUAUUAUGUUUUAAUACAUAAUACAUAAACAUAAUAUUAAUAUUUACUAUGCCAUUUUGUUGAGUAGCCAUACAAGCAGGCAGGAUUUCACAGAAACGUUGAAUUCUGACAAAUGCGGUAAAUAUUCCUAUCUAAAAGUAGGUCUAAAUAAACUGGAAACCAUGGUGCAUUUAUAAGUAUAUAAAAGAUAUAUCUCAGAGAGAUGUAAUACUAGAAAUUACAAAUAAAUAACAUGCUAAAUGUGGGUAAAAUUAAGGGAUAAAAAGGUACUAAUUACUAACUAUACAAUACUAUAAUCAUAGCUGUACAAUACUAACUGUACAAUAAACAAAGACAGGACAGAGACAAU
rnacentral:lncRNA from 1 species